rnacentral:rRNA from 1 species
AUGGAGCGCGCCAUCAUGGCCCUGGCCUUGCUGCUUGCGACACUGGCCGCCUCCGCUGUGGCCAGCCCCGUCAACAAGUCCUGCGUCACCGGCAGCGCCGGCGCCUCCGUGAGCAUCGGAUACGGUGGAGCCGGCGCCAGUGCCGGCGCCGGCGUGUCCCUCGGCGCCGACUGCCCCCGUGCGGAGGAGAUCGUCCGCGCGGCCGUCGAGCAGGCCGUCGCCGCCGACCCCCGCAUGGCCGCCUCCCUCCUCCGCCUCCACUUCCACGACUGCUUCGUCAAUGGUUGCGACGGCUCCGUGCUCCUGGACGACAAGCCGUUCUUCGUCGGCGAGAAGACAGCGGGGCCGAACAUCAACUCGCUCAGGGGUUUCGAGGUCAUCGACGCCAUCAAGGCCGAGCUCGAGCAGGAGUGCCCGGAGACCGUCUCCUGCGCCGACGUCCUCGCCAUCGCCGCCCGUGACUCCGUUGUCGCCUCUGGUGGACCCAGCUGGGAGGUGGAGACCGGCCGCAAGGACAGCCGCACGGCGAGCCUGCAGGCCGCCAACAGCAACCUCCCCGCGCCGACCUCCGGCGUCGCCACGCUCGUGCAGAAGUUCACCAACGUCGGCCUCACCGCAAAAGACAUGGUCGCCCUCUCCGGCGCGCACACCAUCGGCAAGGCACGGUGCACGACGUUCAGCGCGCGGCUCACCAGCGUGGGCGAGUCGGCCAAGGACACGGGGUUCCUGCAGUCGCUGCAGCAGCUGUGCGCGGGGUCGGCGGGGUCGGCGCUGGCGCACCUGGACCUCGCCACGCCGGCCACCUUCGACAACCAGUACUACAUCAACCUGCUCUCCGGCGACGGCCUGCUGCCGUCCGACCAGGCGCUGGCCGCGCCCUCCGGCUCCGGGGCGGAGGACGUCGCGGCGCUCGUGGCCGACUACGCCUUCGACGCGGCCCUCUUCUUCGACGACUUCGCGGCCUCCAUGCUGCGGAUGGGGAGGUUGUCACCGGCCGGCGGCCGUGACGCCGGCGAGGUCCGCCGUAACUGCCGCGUGGUGAACUAG